rnacentral:rRNA from 1 species
GUGUCAGCAGCCGCGGUAAUACGUAGGUGGCAAGCGUUGUCCGGAUUUAUUGGGCGUAAAGGAUGCGCAGGCGGUUAUUUAAGUGUGAUGUGAAAUCCCCGGGCUUAACUUGGGAGCUGCAUUUCAAACUGGGUGACUUGAGUGCAGGAGAGGAAAGUAGAAUUCCAAGUGUAGCGGUGAAAUGCGUAGAGAUUAGGAAGAAUACCAGUGGCGAAGGCGGCUUUCUGGACUGUAACUGACGCUGAGGCAUG